CCCUAUGGGGUGCACCAAGGUCAAGGAUUUUCUCACGCAGAUGAAUGUCGCCUUUGAAGAGGUUGACGUCAGCGCAAAUCGGGAAGCCGCGAUGGAGAUGGUCAAGAGGACACGACAGAUGGGAGUUCCUGUCACCCAGGUGAACGAGCGCUUCAUUGUCGGGUUUAACGCUUCCGAGAUCGAGGGGGCCUUGAAGGACGCCGGGAUCAUAAAGGCCUAGGCAUUUGUAGAGAAAGGCAAAAAAGGGGCUGGUUGAACCAGCCCCUUUUAAAUUUUUGCAUUUUCCGGAGGCGGUCGCAUGAAAACGAAUCUCCUAACGAUCGGUCUUGGCGGAGUCAUUCGAAAGGAAUGGGCGGGGGGGC
rnacentral:rRNA from 1 species